GCCUGGGUAGCCCAGUGGUAGGGCAUCUGCCUUCGGCUCAGGGCGUGAUCCUGGGGUCUUGGGAUCGAAUCCCACAUCGGGCU
rfam:Canis lupus familiaris chromosome 10, whole genome shotgun sequence.